AUUGAACGCUGGCGGCAUGCCUUACACAUGCAAGUCGAACGGCAGCACGGGUGCUUGCACCUGGUGGCGAGUGGCGAACGGGUGAGUAAUACAUCGGAACAUGUCCUGUAGUGGGGGGUAGCCCGGCGAAAGCCGGAUUAAUACCGCAUACGAUCUACGGAUGACAGCGGGGGACCUUCGGGCCUCGCGCUAUAGGGUUGGCCGAUGGCUGAUUAGCUAGUUGGUGGGGUAAAGGCCUACCAAGGCGACGAUCAGUAGCUGGUCUGAGAGGACGACCAGCCACACUGGGACUGAGACACGGCCCAGACUCCUACGGGAGGCAGCAGUGGGGAAUUUUGGACAAUGGGCGAAAGCCUGAUCCAGCAAUGCCGCGUGUGUGAAGAAGGCCUUCGGGUUGUAAAGCACUUUUGUCCGGAAAGAAAUCCUUGGCCCUAAUACGGUCGGGGGAUGACGGUACCGGAAGAAUAAGCACCGGCUAACUACGUG
rnacentral:rRNA from 1 species